rnacentral:rRNA from 1 species
UACAGAGGUGGCAAGCGUUGUUCGGAAUUACUGGGCGUAAAGGGCGCGUAGGCGGCUUGGUAAGUCGGGGGUGAAAGUCAGCGGCUCAACCGCUGGACUGCCUUCGAGACUGCCUGGCUUGAGCAUGGUAGAGGCUGGCGGAAUUCCCGGUGUAGCGGUGGAAUGCGUAGAGAUCCGGAGGAACACCGGUGGCGAAGGCGGAUCUCUGGGCCAUUACUGACGCUGAGGAGCGAAAGCGUGGGGAGCGAACAGG